rnacentral:rRNA from 1 species
UGGGGAAUUUUCCGCAAUGGGCGAAAGCCUGACGGAGCAAUACCGCGUGAGGGAGGAAGGCUCUUGGGUUGUAAACCUCUUUUCUCAGGGAAGAAGCAAGUGACGGUACCUGAGGAAUAAGCAUCGGCUAACUCCGUGCCAGCAGCCGCGGUAAUACGGAGGAUGCAAGCGUUAUCCGGAAUCAUUGGGCGUAAAGCGUCCGCAGGUGGCGCUUCAAGUCUGCUGUCAAAGGCCGGAGCUCAACUCUGGAAAGGCAGUGGAAACUGAAGAGCUAGAGUGCGGUAGGGGUAGAGGGAAUUCCCAGUGUAGCGGUGAAAUGCGUAGAGAUUGGGAAGAACAUCGGUGGCGAAAGCGCUCUGCUGGGCCGCAACUGACACUCAGGGACGAAAGCUAGGGGAGCGAAAGGGAUUAGAUACCCCCGUAGUCC